AACGAACGCUGGCGGCAUGCCUAACACAUGCAAGUCGAACGAGACCUUCGGGUCUAGUGGCGCACGGGUGCGUAACGCGUGGGAACCUGCCUUUAGGUUCGGAAUAACUCAGAGAAAUUUGAGCUAAUACCGGAUAAUGUCUUCGGACCAAAGAUUUAUCGCCUUUAGAUGGGCCCGCGUAAGAUUAGCUAGUUGGUGGGGUAAAGGCCUACCAAGGCGACGAUCUUUAGCUGGUCUGAGAGGAUGAUCAGCCACACUGGGACUGAGACACGGCCCAGACUCCUACGGGAGGCAGCAGUGGGGAAUAUUGGACAAUGGGGGGCAACCCCUGACUCCACGCCAUGCCGCGUGAGUGAU
rnacentral:rRNA from 1 species